rnacentral:rRNA from 1 species
UUAAGUUAUUAAGGGCGCACGGUGGAUGCCUUGGCACUAGAAGCCGAUGAAGGACGUUACUAACGACGAUAUGCUUUGGGGAGCUGUAAGUAAGCUUUGAUCCAGAGAUUUCCGAAUGGGGAAACCCAGCAUGAGUUAUGUCAUGUUAUCGAUAUGUGAAUACAUAGCAUAUCAGAAGGCACACCCGGAGAACUGAAACAUCUUAGUACCCGGAGGAAGAGAAAGAAAAUUCGAUUCCCUUAGUAGCGGCGAGCGAAACGGGAAGAGCCCAAACCAAAAAGCUUGCUUGUUGGGGUUGUAGGACACUCUAUACGGAGUUACAAAGGACGACAUUAGACGAAUCAUCUGGAAAGAUGAAUCAAAGAAGGUAAUAAUCCUGUAGUCGAAAAUGUUGUCUCUCUUGAGUGGAUCCUGAGUACGACGGAGCACGUGAAAUUCCGUCGGAAUCUGGGAGGACCAUCUCCUAAGGCUAAAUACUCUCUAGUGACCGAUAGUGAACCAGUACCGUGAGGGAAAGGUGAAAAGCACCCCGGAAGGGGAGUGAAAUAGAACCUGAAACCGUGUGCUUACAAGUAGUCAGAGCCCGUUAAUGGGUGAUGGCGUGCCUUUUGUAGAAUGAACCGGCGAGUUACGAUUUGAUGCAAGGUUAAGCAGUAAAUGUGGAGCCGUAGCGAAAGCGAGUCUGAAUAGGGCGUUUAGUAUUUGGUCGUAGACCCGAAACCAGGUGAUCUACCCUUGGUCAGGUUGAAGUUCAGGUAACACUGAAUGGAGGACCGAACCGACUUACGUUGAAAAGUGAGCGGAUGAACUGAGGGUAGCGGAGAAAUUCCAAUCGAACCUGGAGAUAGCUGGUUCUCUCCGAAAUAGCUUUAGGGCUAGCCUCAAGUGAUGAUUAUUGGAGGUAGAGCACUGUUUGGACGAGGGGCCCCUCUCGGGUUACCGAAUUCAGACAAACUCCGAAUGCCAAUUAAUUUAACUUGGGAGUCAGAACAUGGGUGAUAAGGUCCGUGUUCGAAAGGGAAACAGCCCAGACCACCAGCUAAGGUCCCAAAAUAUAUGUUAAGUGGAAAAGGAUGUGGCGUUGCCCAGACAACUAGGAUGUUGGCUUAGAAGCAGCCAUCAUUUAAAGAGUGCGUAAUAGCUCACUAGUCGAGUGACACUGCGCCGAAAAUGUACCGGGGCUAAACAUAUUACCGAAGCUGUGGAUUGUCCUUUGGACAAUGGUAGGAGAGCGUUCUAAGGGCGUUGAAGCAUGAUCGUAAGGACAUGUGGAGCGCUUAGAAGUGAGAAUGCCGGUGUGAGUAGCGAAAGACGGGUGAGAAUCCCGUCCACCGAUUGACUAAGGUUUCCAGAGGAAGGCUCGUCCGCUCUGGGUUAGUCGGGUCCUAAGCUGCGGCCGACAGGCGUAGGCGAUGGAUAACAGGUUGAUAUUCCUGUACCACCUAUAAUCGUUUUAAUCGAUGGGGGGACGCAGUAGGAUAGGCGAAGCGUGCGAUUGGAUUGCACGUCUAAGCAGUAAGGCUGAGUAUUAGGCAAAUCCGGUACUCGUUAAGGCUGAGCUGUGAUGGGGAGAAGACAUUGAGUCUUCGAGUCGUUGAUUUCACACUGCCGAGAAAAGCCUCUAGAUAGAAAAUAGGUGCCCGUACCGCAAACCGACACAGGUAGUCAAGAUGAGAAUUCUAAGGUGAGCGAGCGAACUCUCGUUAAGGAACUCGGCAAAAUGACCCCGUAACUUCGGGAGAAGGGGUGCUCUUUAGGGUUAACGCCCAGAAGAGCCGCAGUGAAUAGGCCCAAGCGACUGUUUAUCAAAAACACAGGUCUCUGCUAAACCGUAAGGUGAUGUAUAGGGGCUGACGCCUGCCCGGUGCUGGAAGGUUAAGAGGAGUGGUUAGCUUCUGCGAAGCUACGAAUCGAAGCCCCAGUAAACGGCGGCCGUAACUAUAACGGUCCUAAGGUAGCGAAAUUCCUUGUCGGGUAAGUUCCGACCCGCACGAAAGGCGUAACGAUUUGGGCACUGUCUCAACGAGAGACUCGGUGAAAUCAUAGUACCUGUGAAGAUGCAGGUUACCCGCGACAGGACGGAAAGACCCCGUGGAGCUUUACUGUAGCCUGAUAUUGAAAUUCGGCACAGCUUGUACAGGAUAGGUAGGAGCCUUUGAAACGUGAGCGCUAGCUUACGUGGAGGCGCUGGUGGGAUACUACCCUAGCUGUGUUGGCUUUCUAACCCGCACCACUUAUCGUGGUGGGAGACAGUGUCAAGCGGGCAGUUUGACUGGGGCGGUCGCCUCCUAAAAGGUAACGGAGGCGCUCAAAGGUUCCCUCAGAAUGGUUGGAAAUCAUUCAUAGAGUGUAAAGGCAUAAGGGAGCUUGACUGCGAGACCUACAAGUCGAGCAGGGUCGAAAGACGGACUUAGUGAUCCGGUGGUUCCGCAUGGAAGGGCCAUCGCUCAACGGAUAAAAGCUACCCCGGGGAUAACAGGCUUAUCUCCCCCAAGAGUUCACAUCGACGGGGAGGUUUGGCACCUCGAUGUCGGCUCAUCGCAUCCUGGGGCUGUAGUCGGUCCCAAGGGUUGGGCUGUUCGCCCAUUAAAGCGGUACGCGAGCUGGGUUCAGAACGUCGUGAGACAGUUCGGUCCCUAUCCGUCGUGGGCGUAGGAAAUUUGAGAGGAGCUGUCCUUAGUACGAGAGGACCGGGAUGGACAUACCUCUGGUGUACCAGUUGUCGUGCCAACGGCAUAGCUGGGUAGCUAUGUGUGGACGGGAUAAGUGCUGAAAGCAUCUAAGCAUGAAGCCCCCCUCAAGAUGAGAUUUCCCAACUUCGGUUAUAAGAUCCCUCAAAGAUGAUGAGGUUAAUAGGUUCGAGGUGGAAGCAUGGUGACAUGUGGAGCUGACGAAUACUAAUCGAUCGAAGACUUAAUCAA